AGCGAACGCUGGCGGCAGGCCUAAUACAUGCAAGUCGAACGGCUCUUCGGAGCAGUGGCGGACGGGUGAGUAACGCGUGGGAAUGUGCCCUUUGGUACGGAACAACACAGGGAAACUUGUGCUAGUACCGUAUGUGCCCUUCGGGGGAAAGAUUUAUCGCCAUUGGAGCAGCCCGCGUUGGAUUAGGUAGUUGGUGAGGUAAAGGCGAUAAAUCUUGUGGAAAUACCGAAGGUGGCCUUCGGGGGGAUGAUCAGCCACAUUUAGAGCGAGACACGGCCCAAACUCCUACGGGAGGCAGCAGUGGGGAAUCUUGCGCAAUGGGCGAAAGCCUGACGCAGCCAUGCCGCGUGAAUGAUGAAGGUCUUAGGAUUGUAAAAUUCUUUCACCGGGGACGAUAAUGACGGUACCCGGAGAAGAAGCCCCGGCUAACUUCGUGCCAGCAGCCGCGGUAA
rnacentral:rRNA from 1 species